UACGAGGGGGGCGAGCGUUGUUCGGAAUUAUUGGGCAUAAAGGGUGCGUAGGCGGUUUGGUAAGUCUUAUGUGAAAUCUACAGGCUCAACUUGUAGUCUGCAUGAGAAACUGCCGGGCUUGAGUAUGGGAGAGGUGAGUGGAAUUCCUGGUGUAGCGGUGAAAUGCGUAGAUAUCAGGAGGAACACCUGUGGCGAAAGCGGCUCACUGGACCAUAACUGACGCUGAUGCACGAAAGCUAGGGGAGCAAACAGG
rnacentral:rRNA from 1 species